GAGGUGGGUGAUAUGUGAAUGUGGGCGUCCGGGAGUCAGGCUUCAGUUGGAGUGACACAAGGACAGCAUUGAGAUGGGGCAUCUGAACUGAGAGACCUGAAGGACAAGAGAGCUAGACCUACACUACAAAGAUCUGGGAGAACUCUAUUCCCAGAAGAGGGGAUGGCCAUCACAAAGGCCCCGAGCCAGGAAAGAGCUGGGAGUGUGUGAGAACAGCGAGAAGAGAUGGCUGGGGCCGAAAGAGUGAAAGGGAAGUUGGAGGUUCCAACAAUGUGAGGUUGAGGAGGCUGCAGAGGUCACGUGACGGAGGGCUGCAGCAGCCACAGGAAGGAGCUCGGAGUUUACUGACAUACAGGAGACAGAAGAACAUAACGAAGGACACCAAGUGCAACCAAUCAGACAGGUGGAAGCAGAUAAUUUGGAGCCCCAGGAAAUGAUGGAGGCACAAGAUUAACCAGUCUGCUGUGUGAGUCACCAGAUGGAGGACAGAUGCCAACCAAGCAGGACACCUGUGGCAAGAAAUCAACUAUUGUAUGAAGUCACUGAAAUCAAGGGAGUUCUUUGUUACAGUAGCUGACAUUACACUUACUGAUACUCCGACCCUUCCUCUCUGGGCCCCUGAUAUCAAUAAACCUUGAGCACCCCCUGUCAUUCUGUGAAAUGAAACUCUAAUCCCCAAUUGUGGUGUUCCGGCUUUCACAUAGUGUUUUCAUACAGUGGCCCACUGGCUAUAUGUUUACUAAUUAAAACUCAUCAGUAUAUUCCACUCCAUUCUCUGCCCAAAUGUAA